CUCGUAGGUGGUUUGUCGCGUCGUCUGUGAAAUUCCGGGGCUUAACUCCGGGCGUGCAGGCGAUACGGGCAUAACUUGAGUACUGUAGGGGUAACUGGGAUUCCUGGUGUAGCGGUGAAAUGCGCAGAUAUCAGGAGGAACACCGAUGGCGAAGGCAGGUUACUGGGCAGUUACUGACGCUGAGGAGCGAAAGCAGUGGGUAGCGAACA
rnacentral:rRNA from 1 species